rnacentral:rRNA from 1 species
AAACAUGUCUUUUUGAGUUAUUUUUAAAGUCUGACCUGCCCACCGAAUAUUUAAAUGGCCGCAGUAUUCUGACUGUGCAAAGGUAGCAUAAUCAUUAGUCUUUUAAUUGAAGGCUGGUAUGAAUGGUUGGACGAAGUAUAUUCUGUUUCAUAUAAAUUUAUAAUUGAAUUUUAUAUUUUAGUUAAAAAGCUAAAAUUAAAUUAAAAGACGAGAAGACCCUAUAAAUCNUUAUAUUUAAUAUUGUUUAAAUUUUUUGGAUUUAUUUUAUUUUUAUUUUAUUAAAUAUUUUGUUGGGGUGAUGUUAAAAUUUAAUGAACUUUUAAUUUAUUUAAAUCAUUAAUUUAUGAAUUAUUGAUCCAUUAAUAAUGAUUAUAAGAUUAAGUUACUUUAGGGAUAACAGCGUAAUUUUUUUGGAGAGUUCAUAUCGAUAAAAAAGUUUGCGACCUCGAUGUUGGAUUAAGAGAUAACCUUAGGUGUAGCCGCUUAAGUAAAUGAGUCUGUUCGACUUUUAAAUUCUUACAUGAUC